rnacentral:rRNA from 1 species
CUUAACACAUGCAAGUCGAGCGGGCGAGGUUGCUUCGGUAACUGAGCUAGCGGCGGACGGGUGAGUAAUGCUUAGGAAUCUGCCUAUUAGUGGGGGACAACAUUCCGAAAGGAAUGCUAAUACCGCAUACGCCCUACGGGGGAAAGCAGGGGAUCUUCGGACCUUGCGCUAAUAGAUGAGCCUAAGUCAGAUUAGCUAGUUGGUGGGGUAAAGGCCUACCAAGGCGACGAUCUGUAGCGGGUCUGAGAGGAUGAUCCGCCACACUGGGACUGAGACACGGCCCAGACUCCUACGGGAGGCAGCAGUGGGGAAUAUUGGACAAUGGGCGAAAGCCUGAUCCAGCCAUGCCGCGUGUGUGAAGAAGGCCUUUUGGUUGUAAAGCACUUUAAGCGAGGAGGAGGCUACCGAGAUUAAUACUCUUGGAUAGUGGACGUUACUCGCAGAAUAAGCACCGGCUAACUCUGUGCCAGCAGCUGCGGUAAUACAGAGGGUGCGAGCGUUAAUCGGAUUUACUGGGCGUAAAGCGUGCGUAGGCGGCUUCUUAAGUCGGAUGUGAAAUCCCUGAGCUUAACUUAGGAAUUGCAUUCGAUACUGGGAAGCUAGAGUAUGGGAGAGGAUGGUAGAAUUCCAGGUGUAGCGGUGAAAUGCGUAGAGAUCUGGAGGAAUACCGAUGGCGAAGGCAGCCAUCUGGCCCUAAUACUGACGCUGAGGUA